GAUGAACGCUGGCGGCGUGCCUAAUACAUGCAAGUCGAGCGAACAGACGAGGAGCUUGCUCCUCUGACGUUAGCGGCGGACGGGUGAGUAACACGUGGAUAACCUACCUAUAAGACUGGGAUAACUUCGGGAAACCGGAGCUAAUACCGGAUAAUAUAUUGAACCGCAUGGUUCAAUAGUGAAAGACGGUUUUGCUGUCACUUAUAGAUGGAUCCGCGCCGCAGUAGCUAGUUGGUAAGGUAACGGCUUACCAAGGCAACGAUGCGUAGCCGACCUGAGAGGGUGAUCGGCCACACUGGAACUGAGACACGGGCCAGACUCCUACGGGAGGCAGCAGUAGGGAAUCUUCCGCAAUGGGCGAAAGCUUGACGGAGCAACGCCGCGUGAGUGAUGAAGGUCUUCGGAUCGUAAAACUCUGUUAUUAGGGAAGAACAAAUGUGUAAGUAACUAUGCACGUCUUGACGGUACCUAAUCAGAAAGCCACGGCUAACUACGUG
rnacentral:rRNA from 1 species